rnacentral:rRNA from 1 species
UACGUAGGGGGCUAGCGUUGUCCGGAUUUAUUGGGCGUAAAGAGCGUGUAGGCGGCCAGGUAGGUCUGGUGUGAAAACUCGAGGCUUAACCUCGAGAUGUCAUCGGAAACCAUCUGGCUAGAGUCCGGAAGAGGAGAGUGGAAUUCCUGGUGUAGCGGUGGAAUGCGCAGAUAUCAGGAGGAACACCUAAGGCGAAGGCAGCUCGCUGGAACGGUACUGACGCUGAGGCGCGAAAGCGUGGGGAGCGAACAGG